rnacentral:rRNA from 1 species
UUARAGUUUGWUCAUGCUCAGGAUGAACGCUGGCGGCGUGCCUAAUACAUGCAAGUCGAGCGAACGGACGAGAAGCUUGCUUCUCUGAUGUUAGCGGCGGACGGGUGAGUAACACGUGGAUAACCUACCUAUAAGACUGGGAUAACUUCGGGAAACCGGAGCUAAUACCGGAUAAUAUUUUGAACCGCAUGGUUCAAAAGUGAAAGACGGUCUUGCUGUCACUUAUAGAUGGAUCCGCGCUGCAUUAGCUAGUUGGUAAGGUAACGGCUUACCAAGGCAACGAUGCAUAGCCGACCUGAGAGGGUGAUCGGCCACACUGGAACUGAGACACGGUCCAGACUCCUACGGGAGGCAGCAGUAGGGAAUCUUCCGCAAUGGGCGAAAGCCUGACGGAGCAACGCCGCGUGAGUGAUGAAGGUCUUCGGAUCGUAAAACUCUGUUAUUAGGGAAGAACAUAUGUGUAAGUAACUGUGCACAUCUUGACGGUACCUAAUCAGAAAGCCACGGCUAACUACGUGCCAGCAGCCGCGGUAAUACGUAGGUGGCAAGCGUUAUCCGGAAUUAUUGGGCGUAAAGCGCGCGUAGGCGGUUUUUUAAGUCUGAUGUGAAAGCCCACGGCUCAACCGUGGAGGGUCAUUGGAAACUGGAAAACUUGAGUGCAGAAGAGGAAAGUGGAAUUCCAUGUGUAGCGGUGAAAUGCGCAGAGAUAUGGAGGAACACCAGUGGCGAAGGCGACUUUCUGGUCUGUAACUGACGCUGAUGUGCGAAAGCGUGGGGAUCAAACAGGAUUAGAUACCCUGGUAGUCCACGCCGUAAACGAUGAGUGCUAAGUGUUAGGGGGUUUCCGCCCCUUAGUGCUGCAGCUAACGCAUUAAGCACUCCGCAUGGGAG